UUUCACUUUGUUUCACCCUUUUCUGAAUCAGGAACUUAGAGCAUUUGUUUUCCUUCCAAACACUGUGCUCUGUUUCACCAUUCAACUGUUUUUUCAUCUGUGCUAUUGGAUUGUUAAUAAGUUUUCUAUUGGAUUAUGUUGUACCUUUAGUUUUUAACAUUUUAAGCCAUUACCAUUUUACUGAAGUAUAUAAAGGCUGAAAUCUUAGUAGAUAAGUUAUUGCUUAGUUUUGCAUCAUUAACUUUUUUUAUGUCUAUUACUACUCUACAACUUUCUUCAUAAAUAUGAUUAAUCUUUUGUGAUAUAAUUCAUUUCUCUGUUCAGAAUCCUUCUUUGCUUAUGGCAGGAAUCCUUCUGUAAUGCCACCCUACUUUUCUAUAUCAGUCCCUUUUUUUCCAGCAUAAAGCCUUUUUUCGUGUCUUCUUGGUCAUACUUAUUUACUAAACGUGUUUGUUCUCAGUGCCAAAAUUUUGACUUUAUCAUUUUUUCCUGACUGAAAUCCCUUUUUCUUUCCUUCUCUCUGUUCAGAUUUAAUCAUUUCUUCAGAGGUGUAUCAAGUCAUAGCUGUUCAACAAAAUCUUCAGUGAAAUACUUGCUGUUCAGAUCUUCCUGCAUCUUUACACUUUCAUUGCAGUUACUUUUUAUCACUAAUUUUGUACUAAAUGAAUUCUACCUUGUAUUUUUCUUAAUUAUUAUGUUU
rnacentral:lncRNA from 1 species